ensembl:lncRNA
ACACGCUGGUAGGGUUGUCCCUGGGUACCUCUAUUGACAUAUCACUUGAAGGUCACUUUGGCUUCCUUGAGAAAGCUUGUCAAUUAUCCUUUGUGACUUAGAAUUCCUCACCAUAUUUUACAGCUACAAACGCUGACAAAGAGAAUUAAGUCCAGGAAGUACCCUAGUUAGAAAAUGUGGUUCAUGCACUUUUGAUAUUCUGAGGUAUCAGAAGCCACGAGUCAUGAAAAGUAGAACCCAAGUUGGCCAAAGUUAACAAGUGAACAGAGGUCAGGAUUCAUGGCAAUUCAUGGCAAUCUUCUCUGACUUGUAGGAUGAGGGACAGGAGUGGAAUACAGGCUGGAUCAGAGGAUUGAACAUUUUGGUGUCACAAAACCCUGUCUCCAGGGGAAGUGGUGAAUCAGAUCGUUAAAAACAAGAAGAGGAAGCAUUUGCUGUGUCCUGGCA